rnacentral:rRNA from 1 species
AUUGAACGCUGGCGGCAGGCCUAACACAUGCAAGUCGAGCGGAUGAAGGGAGCUUGCUCCUGGAUUCAGCGGCGGACGGGUGAGUAAUGCCUAGGAAUCUGCCUGGUAGUGGGGGAUAACGUCCGGAAACGGGCGCUAAUACCGCAUACGUCCUGAGGGAGAAAGUGGGGGAUCUUCGGACCUCACGCUAUCAGAUGAGCCUAGGUCGGAUUAGCUAGUUGGUGGGGUAAAGGCCUACCAAGGCGACUACCCGUAACUGGUCUGAGAGGAUGAUCAGUCACACUGGAACUGAGACACGGUCCAGACUCCUACGGGAGGCAGCAGUGGGGAAUAUUGGACAAUGGGCGAAAGCCUGAUCCAGCCAUGCCGCGUGUGUGAAGAAGGUCUUCGGAUUGUAAAGCACUUUAAGUUGGGAGGAAGGGCAGUAAGUUAAUACCUUGCUGUUUUGACGUUACCAACAGAAUAAGCACCGGCUAACUUCGUG